UACGUAGGGGGCAAGCGUUGUCCGGAUUUAUUGGGCGUAAAGAGCGUGUAGGCGGCCUGGAAGGUCAGCUGUGAAAACUCGAGGCUCAACCUCGAGACGUCGGUUGAAACCACCUGGCUAGAGUCCGGAAGAGGAGAGUGGAAUUCCCGGUGUAGCGGUGAAAUGCGCAGAUAUCGGGAAGAACACCCGUGGCGAAGGCGGCUCUCUGGGCAGUAACUGACGCUGAGGAGCGAAAGCGUGGGGAGCGAACAGG
rnacentral:rRNA from 1 species